ACACCACGUCACAACUGACAUUCACAGACAGCACUGAAAUAGAAAGUGAUGCGAGUGCAAAGACAAGAAGUCACCAUCGGAGCACCUAAAAAAAAAUCAAGAUGAAAAUCACCUGUGGUACCAAAUGCCUGUGUGACUAGAGGGAUCAAAGCCAGCCCUCAACAGAGCGUGGUGCCCUGGAUGCUCAGAAAUCCACCUCCUUGAAGACCUGGCUCACACUCACACUCCAGAGGUCGUACUCAGAGCCCGUUCUAGUGGUGCCGUUUACCUCUGAGCGAGCGGCGCGAGUGUGGGCCUGGGCGCAGUGCUAGUUCAUAACCGGAAAGGAGAUAAGGAGACAAGUGUGUGCAAGGAAAAGAUGUCACCCCCAGGAAUCUAAGGCCUUUUUUAAAGCCAGCGUUCACACGUACCCUGGAGUGUUGCUGACACCGAAGACACAACAGACACAGGAACUCACGGAAUUUAGAGUUUUAGGGAGCUGUGAUCCCCACCUCGUCUUCCAUUACUAAACGCACAGAGAUCCCAAGGUGUGCACCUGUGAGAAGGUCUGGAGGUCGCGACAUCGGGAGGAACUAAUGGCAGAGCUGACCCCGAUCAUCAAAGCGUGCUCAGCUGUGCGGCACACAUGUUGCUUUUCACAUGCUGUGAUCACGUCAGCGGACUGCUGAUCCCUGACGUCGUGCAAAGCAUGGGGGUGAGAGUCUUCGGAAGGCCCCUCACUCUCGUGAGUGCCCGUCUGUGCUGAUGCACCUCUGCCUCUCUCGUGAUCUGCAGAGGCUGUUUCUCAAACUGGGUGGCCCCGCCGUGAUGCAUGUGCAGUGAGCCCAGGGGUGAGCACUCAGUGGCCUCCUCCGUCACUCCACACCUUGUUCUGUUUGGCUCUGGCAUUCUCUCGCUGAACCUGGAGGAUACAUACUUACAUAUAUACAUACAUACAUAUAUAUACAUAACACAUAUACAUAUAUACACACACAUAUAUAAGCAUGCAUACGUACAUGUAAAGAACACACACAUGUCAGCUUAAUGUUCUGGGCUAAUGGGUCUCACUGAUCUACAUCAAAGUCCAGGCAGCUAUAGGUUCCCACUGUGAGCCUCCGGGAAGAAUCUACUUUGUCUUUUCCACCCAGGAGAAGCUGCCAUCGGGGCUUGGCCCAUGGUGGCAUCAAAGCCCCCUUCCUGUUCCUUGUGUCCUUCUCUGUCCUGUGUCCUCAUCCUUCCUCUGACUCUGGCCCUCCUCUUUGUAGACCAGGACUUUUGUGCUCUCACGGGGCGUACCUGGAGAAUCUCAGGUGAUGUUCCUCUCUGAUACCUUUGAAGAUAUCAGCACAUUACUUCUGGUCCUGUAGAGUAUUCAUGGAUUCAUGGAUUCUGGGGCUGGAAAUAGGCAUCUCUGGUGGAGACACUGUUCUGUGUCAUGACCAGCUUGAUGGAAGAGCUUGAAACUCUACAUGCAGGUUUCAUCUCUCCUGCAUGUGUGACAGAGUAGCUUGAAAACUGCACUGUGACUAGAGGGCUGUCGCCAGCAUGUAAGGCUUAAAGAAUUCCACUAGGGGGCGGCAUCUGUCACUAACACCUGCCCUGGAGGAGGCUUACACAAAGGUUAAACAGAGAGGGAUCCAAGUGUCUGUUGCUAGAAAACACAGCAUCACAAAACGGUAGGCAAGAUACAGAAACCCUAUGGGAAGAGCUGCAGCUGCUCUCUCUCUCUCUCUCUCUGUUUGUGUGUGUCUCCAUCUCACUGUGUAUCUCUCUGUCUCCUCUGUCUGUCUCUGUUUUUGACUCUGUCUCUGUGUAUAUGUCUGUCUUUCUCUCUGUGUCUCUGUCUCCUCUCUGUGUAUCUGUAUCUGUCUCCUCUUUCUCUGUGUGCUUCUUUCUAUCUCUACCUCUGUUUCUCUCUGUCUCUCUGACUCUGUGUGUUUCUCUGUCUGUCUCCUCUGUCUGCCUGUCUGUGUCUGCGUGUGUGUGUGUGUGUGUGUGUGUGUGUGUGUCCUUUCUCUGUAUCUCUGUCUCUGUCUCUCUCCUACCCUCCCAAGGUUUCAUGAACCUAGUCUCAGACUGCUCUCCAAUUUGCUGUGUAGCCAAGGAAGACUUUGGGUUCUGAUUCUCUGUCUCUGUCUCACCUCCCAAGGGCGAGGUUGCAGGAAUUCACCACUGUGUGGAAGGACGGGGAUGUGACAACUGGCUUGUGUGGUGCUGGGAUGGGGCCCAGGGCUGCAGGCCUG